UACGUAGGGGGCAAGCGUUGUCCGGAUUUAUUGGGCGUAAAGAGCGUGUGGGCGGUUCGGUAGGUCCGUUGUGAAAACUCGAGGCUCAACCUCGAGACGCCGAUGGAAACCAUCGAACUAGAGUCCGGAAGAGGAGAGUGGAAUUCCUGGUGUAGCGGUGAAAUGCGUAGAUAUCAGGAGGAACACCUGUGGCGAAAGCGGCUCACUGGACCAUAACUGACGCUGAUGCACGAAAGCUAGGGGAGCAAACAGG
rnacentral:rRNA from 1 species